rnacentral:rRNA from 1 species
GUAUGGGAGUGAGAAUGUUGGCAUGAGUAGCGAGAUGUGGGUGAGAAUCCCACAGGCCGUAAACCCAAGGUUUCCAGGGGAAGGUUCGUCCGCCCUGGGUUAGUCGGGACCUAAGCUGAGGCCGAAAGGCGUAGGUGAUGGACAACAGGUUGAUAUUCCUGUACUACCGAUAACCGUUUGAGAGAAGGGAUGACACAGUAGGAUAAGCUAAGCACACUGUUGGUUAUGUGUGCCCAAGCAUUGAGGCAGUCAAAGUAGGCAAAUCCGCUUUGAUAAUGCUGGGAUGUGAUGGGGAGCGAAAUUUAGUAGCGAAGUAGCUGAUUUCACACUGUCAAGAAAAGUCUCUAUCGAGGUUAAAGGUACCCGUACCGCAAACCGACACAGGUGGGUGAGGAGAGUAUCCUAAGGCCAGCGAGAGAACUGUUGUUAAGGAACUCGGCAAAAUGACCCCGUAACUUAGGGAUAAGGGGUGCCACCAUCAGGUGGCCGCAGAGAAUAGGCCCAAGCGACUGUUUACCAAAAACAUAGGUUUCUGCUAAGUCGCAAGACGAUGUAUAGGAGCUGACGCCUGCCCGGUGCUGGAAGGUUAAGGGGAUCUGUUAGAGCAAUCGAAGCAGUGAACUUAAGCCCCAGUAAACGGCGGCCGUAACUAUAACGGUCCUAAGGUAGCGAAAUUCCUUGUCGGGUAAGUUCCGACCCGCACGAAAGGCGUAACGAUUUGGGCACUGUCUCAACAACAGACUCGGUGAAAUUGUAAUUCCGGUGAAGAUGCCGGAUACCUGCGACAGGACGGAAAGACCCCAUGGAGCUUUACUGUAGCUUGACAUUGGGUCUUGGUACUACAUGUACAGGAUAGGUGGGAGGCUUUGAAACCAGGACGCCAGUUUUGGCGGAGCCAUCCUUGGGAUACCACCCUUGUAGUACUGGGACUCUAACCAUAGGCCAUGAAUCUGGUCUUGGGACACUGUCAGGUGGGCAGUUUGACUGGGGCGGUCGCCUCCCAAAAGGUAACGGAGGCGCUCAAAGGUUCUCUCAGUACGGUCGGAAAUCGUACGUAGAGUGUAAAGGCAAAAGAGAGCUUGAUUGCAAGACAUACAGGUCGAGCAAGGAUGAAAAUCGGACUUAGUGAUCCGGUGGUUCUGCGUGGAAGGGCCAUCGCUCAACGGAUAAAAGCUACCCUGGGGAUAACAGGCUUAUCUCCCCCAAGAGUCCACAUCGACGGGGAGGUUUGGCACCUCGAUGUCGGCUCAUCACAUCCUGGGGCUGUAGUAGGUCCCAAGGGUUGGGCUGUUCGCCCAUUAAAGUGGUACGCGAGCUGGGUUCAGAACGUCGUGAGACAGUUCGGUCCCUAUCCGUCGCAGGCGUAGGAAAUUUGAGAAGACCUGUCCUUAGUACGAGAGGACCGGGAUGGACGUACCUCUGGUGUACCAGUUGU